AUUGAACGCUGGCGGCAGGCUUAACACAUGCAAGUCGAGCGAGCGGCGGACGGGUGAGUAAUGUCUGGGAAACUGCCUGAUGGAGGGGGAUAACUACUGGAAAAGGUAGCUAAUACCGCUUAACAUCAUCUGGGCCCAGAUGGGAUUAGCUAGUCGGUGGGGUAAUGGUUCACCUAGGCGACGAUCCCUAGCUGGUCUGAGAGGAUGACCAGCCACACUGGAACUGAGACGCGGUCCAGACUCCUACGGUAGGCAGCAGUGGGGAAUAUUGCACAAUGGGCGCAAGCCUGAUGCAGCCAUGCCGCGUGUAUGAAGAAGGCCUUCGGGUUGUAAAGUACUUUCAGCGGGGAGGCGUUACCCGCAGAAGAAGCACCGGCUAACUCCGUGCCAGCAGCCGCGGUAAUAC
rnacentral:rRNA from 1 species